AAUCUAAUAGUUAGGGAAGUCUCAGCAAUGUUAGUCGAGAAGACCAAAGAUCACAUCAUCUCAAGAGCAUACCAUCAGUCACGAUUAGACACAAGAGUACAACAACACGACACAGACAUGGCUGCAACUCUACGAUGCAUCCAACCAAACCACUUCCUAGGCUUAUAUCCACAAGUCUAUAACAAAGAAUGGGAUUUUCACAAAUAAACAAAACUUUUACAAUUAGGUAUUUAUCAUUCUCAAACACCAAACAUCAUCAUCUCUAGUUACACCGUUCCUAAUAAACCCUAAAUAUCAAAUUCAAAUCAACAAAAGCAGAGGAAUUUUACGAAAUACCUCGCUCGAUUCCUCUUUUGAGUUUUGAAUUUCGCUGUAAUCUCUGGUGAAAGCGUCUCUAUGGAUCGAUAUUGAUUUAGA
rnacentral:lncRNA from 1 species